CCGAGCGAACACCAAAACCCCAGAGAUCCUGCGGCAACCAAGGAAGAGCAAAGCCAGCAGCGAGACGCUGAGGGCUCUUGGGGCGGCCAUGCGCCACAGCAUGGCGGGGCAGCAGUCGAUGGAUUGUAUGAUUUCUCGAAUUCUAUAAAUCUCUUUCCAAGUAGGACAUCAUCGUGUGGUCAUAUACAUCGUUCUUUUGGGCUGUUUCCUGAGGUUAGGUGACAUUGCUGAGCAUCUACUAAGUUCCUCCAUCCCUUAAACCAAACUGUCACCAUUAUGAAACAAAAACCUGGAAUUGCUGGUGACUGGCAUGAACCCGUGAUGCUUCUCGCUAAAAUUCCAAGCCAGGAAGGCUUCAAGAAUGGGCAAAAGGACGGCUGGCUUGAUUGCUGGUGGGGGUCAAGAUAAGUGGAGGCUUCAGAAAAAGCAUCCAACAGAAAUUGCUCAGAAGAUGAUGGAUGCAAUCAGACCAGUAUCUUUAGGCAUUAUGGAUUACAUAUGCAACAUCACACUACACAUCAUUCUCAUGGAACUAUUGCCUAAGCUAAAUGAAGAAAAAAACUUCAAAGAACAUCUGUUCUCAGACAAAGGUGAGCUAAAUCCAGUGAAGACAAAUAGCCUUCCACUCAAAACUUGGAGCUGCAUCAGCAUAUUCCCAUGGUACACAUCUUCUUCUCUUCUAGUUCUGUAGCCAUUUGUUUGGACUGCUUUCCCGUGGCACUGCGAGUGUUUCCUGUGAAUCCAGCUCCUCUUCCUCCUCCUCAAUGGUGUCCAACAUCUGCGGAGCCUUGUGCUUGACAACUGCGAUCAGCUUCGGUGGCGCAACCUCUGUGACGAAGUGGAAGCCACAGCCUCUCACCAUCUCUGAAGCAAGGAUCGAACGCCGCAAGAUCAAAAGCUGAACAGAGAGGAUUUCAAGGAAGGAAGAACACCGAAGUCUUGAUAUCCUUGUGGUGCUCUCCAAUUACCCACCUGCAAUGUAUUUAAAUCAGCAGCAGGAAGAGAUCCGAGCGCUUAUACUAAUUUAUGCCCACAUGAUUUGUAUGUGCAAUCUACAGCCACAUGAUUCUGAGUCGUUUGCUUGGAAACCACGUCUGUGCAAUGUAUUUAAAUCAGCAGCAGGAAGAGAUCCGAGCGCUUAUACUAAUUUAUGCCCA